CCAGCAAUCACUCACACCCCCAUAGUUACUGUCCUUUGUUCCAGUUUCUUUCAGGCAUCUCUUUGGGGUGGAGAGGCAAUCUCUGGAGCCAGCUGAAGACAAAAUGGAGAGACUUCUAGGGCCUUUUAUAUUAUCUCUCUUGUGGAUGGAAACCCCUUUGUUCUCCUGUGAAAAAUCACAGCAACAAGAUGGAGUUUGUAGCCACCUGGGCAAGUCACAUGUCUAUGAACAAUUCAGCUUUUUGCAUGCCGACGCCAUUGUUUACAUGUUAGUUUGAAUGUUCCCAGGAAAGCUCAAAUGUGGAUUGGAAUCUCUCAAAGUUCAUUUUCAUGCAAGUGUUUCUUGAUAGGACUGUUCUCAGUAGGUGCCCAUUCUCAAGAAGCUGACCAAAUGCUUCACUGAUACUACUUAGAAUCAAACUCAUUGAGAUACAAGUAUGUCAUUAAUAUAAUG